UACAGAGGUCUCAACCGUUGUUCGGAUUCAUUGGGCGUAAAGGGUGCGUAGGCGGUCGCGUAAGUCAGGUGUGAAAUCCCGGGGCUCAACCCCGGAACUGCAUUUGAUACUGCGUGGCUCGGGUACUGGAGAGGAGACUGGAAUUUACGGUGUAGCAGUGAAAUGCGUAGAUAUCGUAAGGAAGACCAGUGGCGAAGGCGGGUCUCUGGACAGUUCCUGACGCUGAGGCACGAAGGUCAGGGGAGCAAACGGG
rnacentral:rRNA from 1 species